GUUCCUAUAGUUUAAUAGUAACGGCGGUUUUUCAGGUCGUCAGUCCUGGUUAGAGCCCGGGUGGGAAUU
rnacentral:tRNA from 1 species